UGACCAGACUCCUACGGGAGGCAGCAGUGGGGAAUAUUGCACAAUGGGGGAAACCCUGAUGCAGCGACGCCGCGUGAGUGAAGAAGUAUUUCGGUAUGUAAAUCUCUAUCAGCAGGGAAGAAAAUGACGGUACCUGAUUAAGAAGCCCCGGCUAACUACGUGCCAGCAGCCGCGGUAAUACGUAGGGGGCAAGCGUUAUCCGGAUUUACUGGGUGUAAAGGGAGCGUAGACGGUGAUGCAAGUCAGAAGUGAAAGCCCGGGGCUCAACUCCGGGACUGCUCUUGAAACUGGCAGGCUUGAGUGCUGGAGAGGUAAGCGGAAUUCCUAGUGUAGCGGUGAAAUGCGUAGAUAUUAGGAGGAACACCAGUGGCGAAGGCGGCUUACUGGACAGUGACUGACACUGAGGCUCGAAAGCGUGGGGAGCAAACAGGAUUAGAUACCCGUGUAGG
rnacentral:rRNA from 1 species